rnacentral:rRNA from 1 species
AGUGAACGCUGGCGGUAGGCCUAACACAUGCAAGUCGAACGGCAGCACAGUAAGAGCUUGCUCUUACGGGUGGCGAGUGGCGGACGGGUGAGGCAUACAUCGGAAUCUACUUUUUCGUGGGGGAUAACGUAGGGAAACUUACGCUAAUACCGCAUACGACCUACGGGUGAAAGCAGGGGAUCUUCGGACCUUGCGCGAUUGAAUGAGCCGAUGCCGGAUUAGCUAGUUGGCGGGGUAAAGGCCCACCAAGGCGACGAUCCGUAGCUGGUCUGAGAGGAUGAUCAGCCACACUGGAACUGAGACACGGUCCAGACUCCUACGGGAGGCAGCAGUGGGGAAUAUUGGACAAUGGGCGCAAGCCUGAUCCAGCCAUACCGCGUGGGUGAAGAAGGCCUUCGGGUUGUAAAGCCCUUUUGUUGGGAAAGAAAAGCAGCAGGUUAAUACCCCGCUGUUCUGACGGUACCCAAAGAAUAAGCACCGGCUAACUUCGUG